rnacentral:rRNA from 1 species
UACGAAGGGGGCUAGCGUUGUUCGGAUUUACUGGGCGUAAAGCGCACGUAGGCGGAUUGUUAAGUCAGGGGUGAAAUCCCGGGGCUCAACCUCGGAACUGCCUUUGAUACUGCAAAUCUCGAGUCCGAUAGAGGUGGGUGGAAUUCCUAGUGUAGAGGUGAAAUUCGUAGAUAUUAGGAAGAACACCGGUGGCGAAGGCGGCCCACUGGAUCGGUACUGACGCUGAGGUGCGAAAGCGUGGGGAGCAAACAGG